UACGGAAGGCAGCAGUGGGGAAUAUUGCACAAUGGGCGAAAGCCUGAUGCAGCUAUGCCGCGUGUAUGAAGAAGGCCUUAGGGUUGUAAAGUACUUUCAUCGGGGAGGAAAAAACAAAACUAAUAAUUUUAUUUCUUGACGUUACCCGAAAAAGAAGCACCGGCUAACUCCGUGCCAGCAGCCGCGGUAAUACGGAGGGUGCUAGCGUUAAUCAGAAUUACUGGGCGUAAAGAGCACGUAGGUGGUUUUUUUAAGUCAGAUGUGAAAUCCCUGGGCUUAACCUGGAACUGCAUUUUGAAACUGAAAUACUAGAGUAUCGUAGAGGGAGGUAGAAUUCUAGGUGUAGCGGUGAAAUGCGUAGAUAUCUGGAGGAAUACCUGUGGCGAAAGCGGCCUCCUAAACGAAUACUGACACUGAGGUGCGAAAGCGUGGGGAGCAAACGAGGAUUAGGAUACC
rnacentral:rRNA from 1 species